CGGCAUGUCAUUGGUCCCUCGACGCUUCGUCUGAUUCUUCGGCGCAUCGUCCUCUCCUGCAGCCUAUUGCCCAAUCGGCCAGUUGACUCCGCAACUCCGAUAUCCUUGGCACAAUACCCGCUCUUCUUGGCCCGAUGCCCGAGUCCACGGCCCGAAGCCUUCUGUCGAUACGUCGACCGAUCCACCGGCCCGACGUCCAAUCUUCUGACAUGUUCCUCCGGU
rnacentral:lncRNA from 1 species